GCCGCUGUGGAGCCCCCGCAGUGAGGGGCGGCUGUGACACCGCGGGCUGGUGCUGCUGAGGGGUCACGGCACGCGAGGGUGGCAACGCCCAAGCGUUUAUAAGCGUCGCCGGCCACUCCAGGCAGCGACGGGACGGCUGGUCCGGCCCGGUCACGGCGCCUCUGUGAGGGGCCACGUUCUUUCCCGCUCUCUGCCGUCGCCUCAGCUGGGCCAGCGGCCCGUCCUCCCAGCCCGGCGGGCCCCGGGCGAUGCUGAAAGAUCCCUGGAAGCCAGCCCGGCAGUGCCCCUUGUCCCGGACAGGCACACCAGGCUCCCAAGAGCUCGCUAUCAGCUCCCAUCAGAUCCAGAUUAAGAAAUUAGCCUUCGACUAAUCAUUUAAAUUAAUGGUCCCAGACUGGUACAUAAAGUGAGCUGACGCAGGUCCAGCCUAGACUUCAGCCUUUCCUGAAGUGUGCCUGGGGUGCCACUUUCCUGCCUGUCUCUUCUGCCCUUUGGUGGGAGCACUGUGGCAACUGGAAACUGGCACUGAAGUGGCCCCACACACUGGCAGUGAGAGUCAGCCUGAGGCCUCUGAGCAGAGUGUGGCCAGAGCAAACCACAGACCUGUUUCUCAGCGGUGGACAUGAGUUUUGUCACAGUGCUACACUCAAUGACCCAGCCAGGAACCAGCAGCCAUCCUGUCCUACUGUGGACGUUAUUGAAAUGAUCCUCAGGUGAUAUUUCCAAUUCUAACACCCUAUUUCCUCUUAGGUUCCUUAAAAACAGUUUUCAUAGCAGUCAAGGCAGAGGGCACAUCAAACAUGCAAUAAAAUUUGUUUUGGACAGCUCCUACCUGAUAAAAAUAAAUGCAGGGAAAAUAUUGGUGGUGGGUCGUAUGCACUGAGUACUUGUUGAAAUCAUGAUAAACUGCACUUCCAGCAAAACAAUCUGCAAAAGACAGAAAGAAUGAUCUGCUAUAGCAGGCAUUCUGGACUCACACACAAUUCAUUCAAGUAUCACAUCAUGUAUAUUUGUAUUUUGACAUGACAUUUAUGUAAAGCACAUCAUUACUUAACUGUUCUCUUGUAUCUUCUGCUCAAUCCUUUCCCUACACCCUAUGAAAACUAAUUCUUCUCCAUGCAUCUGUUCAGUGUCUCUGUAAGUCACACCAAUUUUGUUUGCAAUUUUUUUUGACCUAUUUUUCAAGGACUACCUAUACAUUUCCUUCCUUCCUCUUCUGUUAAAAGAAUCCCCCUGAAAAUCUGUUGUGUGCCAGUAUACUCUCUCCAACCUGCUCCUAAAUUAAAUAAAGCUCAGUAAUUUCA